rnacentral:tRNA from 1 species
ACACUGAGGUUUAGGGGUAGAAUUCUCGCCUUUCAUGCAGGAGACCCAGGUCAGAUUCCUGGCCAGUGUG